rnacentral:rRNA from 1 species
GGGUGUUGGGUUAAGUCCCGCAACGAGCCGCAACCCCUAUGUUUAGUUGCCAGCAUGUAAUGAUGGGGACUCUAGACAGACUGCCUACGCAAGUAGAGAGGAAGGAGGGGAUGACGUCAAGUCAUCAUGGCCCUUACGCCCAGGGCUACACACGUGCUACAAUGGAGAGUACAGAGGGUCGCUACGCAGCAAUGUGAUGCCAAUCUCAAAAAGCUCUUCUCAGUUCGGAUUGAGGUCUGCAACUCGACCUCAUGAAGUUGGAAUCGCUAGUAAUCGCGCAUCAGCAAUGGCGCGGUGAAUACGUUCCCGGACCUUGUACACAC